CGUAGGUGCAAGCGUUAAUCGGAAUUACUGGGCGUAAAGCGUGCGCAGGCGGUCUUGCAAGACAGAUGUGAAUCCCGGGCUCAACCUGGGAACUGCAUUUGUGACUGCAAGGCUGGAGUACGGCAGAGGGGAUGGAAUUCCGCGUGUAGCAGUGAAAUGCGUAGAUAUGCGGAGGAACACCGAUGGCGAAGGCAAUCCCCUGGGCCUGUACUGACGCUCAUGCACGAAAGCGUGGGAGCAAACAGGAUU
rnacentral:rRNA from 1 species